rnacentral:rRNA from 1 species
UACAGAGGUGGCAAGCGUUGUUCGGAAUUACUGGGCGUAAAGGGCGCGUAGGCGGUUCGUUAAGUCCUGUGUGAAAUCCCCCCGGCUCAACUGGGGAACUGCACAGGAAACUAGCGGGCUUGAGUUCGGGAGAGGGAAGCGGAAUUCCGGGUGUAGCGGUGAAAUGCGUAGAUAUCCGGAGGAACACGGUGCGAAGGCGGCUUACCUGGACCGACACUGACGCUGAGGCGCGAAAGCUAGGGGAGCAAACGGG